rnacentral:pre_miRNA from 1 species
UUAACUAAAAUUUGUAUGGAGUCGGAAAAUUUGUCUACGUUUGCCGUUAGGGGCGCUGUUCUAACUCCAUACAUAUCUGAGUUA